AUAAAGUUCAGUCCUAGGGUAAUAACGGUACCCCCAGAACUGGAAGUGCAGACCCGGGAGAGGACGUGGUGAAGAAGAAAUCUCCAGCCACUGCUGAGGAGAGCAGCAGGAAAUGCCAACAUGUCCUGGCAGAACUGGAGAGUGUCCUUGGACACCUAGAGGGUCUUUUUGCCUGAACGUUAGCACAAGUGCUGAUGCUCCUUGGGGGCAAUGCCUGAAGUUCCAAGGAGUUCUAUUUUAAUCAAUAGAAACUGAUAAAAGGCCAGAUGAAGAACUCAGGCAAUGCUUUAUUGGGACUCACGCUGCUGCAAAGGGAGAGAAAAUGAAGAACAGGAGAUAUUUGUCCAAGUACAAGUGCAAGCCCUCCAUAAAGAGUCCCAGGUCCCAGCCGGUCUCAUUCCUACCACCUUGACUUGUCCUGCUUGACCAUCAAUAGCAUGGACCCGAGCUUAAGCACAGCAGCUUGUUUGCGCCGUCUCUUGCGAGCCAUUUUCCUUGUGGAUGCCUUCGGUGAGCUGCAGCAACUCUGCUCAUGGGCACCAUGGGCACAGCACAGGGCAACUGUGACUGUGAAGACUGGUCUGGACCCAAGCUCAGCUAUAGAGUGCCCAGCCAGGGUCACAAAUUGACCUUGUUCUGCAGAUGACUCUCCAUCCCAACCACAGCUUGGAAAGAUUACAUUUGGCUCCUGGCACUAGUGACACUAAAAGUCUUCCGUGAGUGAACUGGAUGCUUCUCAAUCACGAACACAAUGGCUAAAUUAUCUUUCCUCUGGUGGCACCAAGUGACUCAUCUUUUGUUUGGAGCUGGUUACUUCCUGCCAAGCAGAGAUACAAGCCUUGUAAGACACAUUUACCUGAAUGCAUUGAGAAGCUCAGAGAAGAAAGGCAGGAAGGACACUUUUCACUUCUCCAAAGCCAUACCAGGAUGGCUCUGAGUUAAUUACCAUAAGAGGACACUCAAACCCAGUUCAAAAGUCUAUCUGCUUUAAAGAUGAUCAUAUAUCCAGGAAACUUGAAGAUGCCUGCCUGCCAGAUGAUGGGCAAGGGGAAAAAUUGAUAAAACUUAUCAGGAGGGUGG
ensembl:lncRNA